CAUAACUUUACCCAGCAAUCUCUGAAGGUUUCUUUUUCUGUUUUAUUAAGUGUAAACACUGUCCUCCAGUGCUCCCUAUUUCUCCUAGCAGGCUCCAAGGAUUAAUUCUGGGUCACUAGCUAAAUUCACCACCUCUGCUCUGCUCCCAAAUUGCUUCUAUCUUUUUCCUUACUCUUAUGCAGAUCCUGGAAGAUAUCAAUUCUGAGGGCUGGUGUGUAUCUUGAUCACCUUUGGAAUCUACCACUCCACGGAGUACAGCAUUUACCACCUAGUAGGCUGGAGGAAUCUCAGCUCACUGCAACCUCUGCCUCCUGGGUUCAAGCAAUUCUCCUGCUUCAGUCUCCCGAGCAGCUGGGAUUAAUAGGUAUGCACCUUCACAUCCAGCUAAUUUUGUAUUUUUAGUAGAGACAGUGUUUCUCCAUGUUGGUCAGGCUGGUCUCAAACACCUGACCACAGGUGAUAUGCCCUCCUUGGCCUCCCAAAGUGCUGGGAUUACAGGCAUGAGCCACUGUGCCCAGCCUGAAGGCAGUAUUUUAAAAUAAACUCAUGCAUGUCCUUUUAUCCAAUAAAAUGUCAAUCUUAAAUUACUAAGCUAAUUCAUCCUUAAGUUGAAAUACUCCUUUUAGUUUUUUAAUUAAGGGAAGUGUGCGGUUUGUGAGACCUGGACCAUUAGGAAGCUUAAGUGUUUUGAGUCAAGACUGGGAGGCCAUCCCUCGCCUGUGCCAGUGAGGUGGAAUGAGGCUGCCAGUAAGCCAGGGUGUCAAGGAUAACAGCACAGCUCCAUCUAUCGUGGCCACCAACUUGAAUACAUAACCAAAUGCAUUACCUCCCUCAGACACAUUCUUUCAAAGUGAAAUUACUUUAUAGGGUGUGCAAUAAGAUUUUUUUGGAUGGUUUUAUAUAAUGUCCCUGAAAUUUUUAGACAACUGACUUUUACACAGCUAUAAACUAGAGUUAGCAUAUACUUCUGGACUUCCUGGAACUUCACAGCUCAAGGUUCUAGGAUCAUUCAUCUAAGAGUGGGUACAUGCUUAUGACUGAUCCCUUGAUGGGAACCAGUCUAAAAGAGGAGAAAGCUAAUAAAAUCAGCCUGACACAGUGAUGGUUAAGAACUGAGAUUUCAAAUCCAGGCUGGUUCUGGGUUUGCAUCUUGACUAACCACUUACGAGCUCGUGUGAUCUUAAGCAAGUUACAGAACAACUUUAAUCUUUAAUUUCCCAUAGAUGAGGAUUAAAAUAGUAUUUGUCGCCUAUAUUUGUGAGAAUUAAAGGAAGUAUUGAUACUUAGCAUAGUGCCUGGCUCAUCUAGGUGGUCAGAAAACAUUAACUAUUGCCAGUAGCUGCUUCUGUUAAUAUUAUUCAAGGUAGCAAGCAUGUAGAGUGUGCACCACAAGCAAAGCACUGUGCUAGACAUGGCAAAGUGUGUGUGUAUGAGAGACAGAGAAUUAGGUUGUAAGAGUAUAGUGGAGUGAGGAGGAGGAGGAUCGAGAAAAUACACAGAUGGCUAAACAUAGAUAACUGAAAUGAAACAUUUAAUUGUGGGCAUACUGGGCAUACUCUGUAAAAGGCACUGCAUAGAUAGAUCUUUAUAUAACUGAUCUCAUUUAAUGUUCACACAACCCUAUGGGUAGGCAUUAUUAUUAUCUUCAUUUUACAUUUGAAGAAAAUAAGCCUUAGAAAGAUCAGUUAGCCUGCAGUGGCUCAU
rnacentral:lncRNA from 1 species